GGUGGUGUGGUCUAGUGGUAUGACGUCACGUUGUGGUCACAGACAAGCACCGUGCCAGCCCGUGUUCGAUUCACGGCACCGCCA